AGUGAACGCUGGCGGUAGGCCUAACACAUGCAAGUCGAACGGCAGCACAGUAAGAGCUUGCUCUUACGGGUGGCGAGUGGCGGACGGGUGAGGAAUACAUCGGAAUCUACUUUUUCGUGGGGGAUAACGUAGGGAAACUUACGCUAAUACCGCAUACGACCUACGGGUGAAAGCAGGGGAUCUUCGGACCUUGCGCGAUUGAAUGAGCCGAUGUCGGAUUAGCUAGUUGGCGGGGUAAAGGCCCACCAAGGCGACGAUCCGUAGCUGGUCUGAGAGGAUGAUCAGCCACACUGGAACUGAGACACGGUCCAGACUCCUACGGGAGGCAGCAGUGGGGAAUAUUGGACAAUGGGCGCAAGCCUGAUCCAGCCAUACCGCGUGGGUGAAGAAGGCCUUCGGGUUGUAGAGCUCUUUUGUUGGGAAAGAAAAGCAGCAGGUUAAUACCCCGCUGUUCUGACGGUACCCGAAGAAUAAGCACCGGCUAACUUCGUG
rnacentral:rRNA from 1 species